UACGUAGGCAGCGAGCGUUGUUCGGAGUUACUGGGCGUAAAGGGUGUGUAGGCGGUUGCGUAAGUUUGGUGUGAAAUCUCCCGGCUCAACUGGGAGGGUGCGCCGAAUACUGAGUGACUCGAGUGCGGGAGAGGAGACUGGAAUUCAUGGUGUAGCAGUGAAAUGCGUAGAGAUCGUGAGGAAGACCAGUGGCGAAGGCGGGUCUCUGGACAGUUCCUGACACUGAGGCACGAAGGCCAGGGGAGCAAACGGG
rnacentral:rRNA from 1 species